rnacentral:rRNA from 1 species
CCUACGGGAGGCAGCAGUGAGGAAUAUUGGUCAAUGGGCGUACGCCUGAACCAGCCAAGUCGCGUGAGGGAUGACUGCCCUAUGGGUUGUAAACCUCUUUUGUCAGGGAGCAACGCCGGCUACGUGUAGGCGGACUGAGAGUACCUGAAGAAAAAGCAUCGGCUAACUCCGUGCCAGCAGCCGCGGUAAUACGGAGGAUGCGAGCGUUAUCCGGAUUUAUUGGGUUUAAAGGGUGCGUAGGCGGAAUGCCAAGUCAGCGGUAAAAUCGCGGGGCUCAACCUCGUGCUGCCGUUGAAACUGGCGUGCGUGAGUGGGCGAGAGGUAUGCGGAAUGCGUGGUGUAGCGGUGAAAUGCAUAGAUAUCACGCAGAACUCCGAUUGCGAAGGCAGCAUACCGGCGCCCAACUGACGCUGAAGCACGAAAGCGUGGGUAUCGAACAGGAUUAGAUACCCUGGUAGUC